rnacentral:rRNA from 1 species
AACGAACGCUGGCGGCAUGCCUAACACAUGCAAGUCGAACGAGACCUUCGGGUCUAGUGGCGCACGGGUGCGUAACGCGUGGGAACCUGCCCUUAGGUUCGGAAUAACUCCCCGUAAGGGGUGCUAAUACCGGUUAAUGUCUUCGGACCAAAGAUUUAUCGCCUUUGGAUGGGCCCGCGUUGGAUUAGCUUGUUGGUAGGGUAAAAGCCUACCAAGGCGACGAUCCAUAGCUGGUCUGAGAGGAUGAUCAGCCACACUGGGACUGAGACACGGCCCAGACUCCUACGGGAGGCAGCAGUGGGGAAUAUUGGAAAAUGGGCGAAAGCCUGAUACAGCAAUGCCGCGUGAGUGAUGAAGGCCUUAGGGUUGUAAAGCUCUUUUACCCGGGAUGAUAAUGACAGUACCGGGAGAAUAAGCACCGGCUAACUCCGUG